UUCAAAGGGGAACAUCAGGGAGCGUUGCUGAGUCAUGUGACUUGGCAACCAGCCCAGGCGCCAGUUUAGACUGACCGAGUGCCUGCUCCCCACAUUCCCAGGAUCUUCUGAGUUGUUUUGGUGAGCGCGGAGCCUGUUCCUAUUGCCUGACUACUGAAGCCUUGAUGUUCAUUCCACAAGAAGAUACCCUUUCCUGGAACUACAAACCCAGUCAAAAGUCACCAGGCCCGGGGUGGGGGGGGGGGGGGGGAGAAACUACUGUUGUUGUUUUGUUACUUGGUCAUGUGGUCCACCUGCUUUCCCCAGGACUUACACUCACAGGCACUCCUCAGUGCUGUUCUCAGCUCCUAGCGGCAAAGGCUGAGAUCCAUCUCUAAUCGAAGUACAGAGAAUAAAUGACUAUGAAAUGGUCCCUGAGCAGGAUCUCUCUACCACAAACGUAAAGGCUCAGGAAACACCGUGGGAGAGAAGGUGGAAGGAAGAAGGUCGGAGUCAGGGUUGGGGAGGACUGCUGUUGGAGAGAGACAACAGUGUUUCCUGGGCACCAUCAGCCAUUGCCCAUAUGAGCUCACCACAGCUGCAGCUGCCCGGACAUGAUGGCUCCCAGCAAUACUUCUUCAUGCAUCUGGGGAAGGCCUCCCCAGAGACCUCCUCACAGAGGGACUAUGGGAAAUUUAUAUUUGCUAGUAGAAGGGGUAUUGUUUUGUUAAUGGUACAGCCACUGCUAAGUUCCAGUAAGUAACUCUCCACUCAUGUCCAUGAAAGAAAACAGAAUUAAAAACCCAAUGUGUCCAACCAAUAAAAAAGACUUGAGAGAGAGAGAGAGAGAGAGAGAGAGAACUAAUUGAUCAACAAGGGUGACCUGCCUGCACAAUGUGCUAGUAUGAUAGUGGCUCAAACAUUGUGAGUAACUAACCACUCUCUUACUGGAGUUAAGGUCCACCCGGUGAGAUGGAACUGAUGCCUGAACUUUGGGUCACUAGGGAAUAACCAAAUACCAUUGCUCUGCUAAAGUAACACAGCAAUAAAAUGACUCCUAAUGAUAUUCUGCUAUACCCAUAGAUCAGCGUCUGACUCUGCCAUCAUCACAGAAGCUUCCUCCUGCAGUAGAUGGGAGCAAGUGGGCAAUAUACAGAGAAUGAGAGACUUUGGCACACUCAGUCCUAAAUGAAACAUUUUCAGUAAAGCCUCCCCUCAGAGCUCAGGUCGCUGUGUGGAUGAGGAGGAACAAAGAUGACAAAAGCCAGAAAAGACAGAUGACGCCAAGGAUGACACCAAGGUGACACCAAGGAUACAGUGUCUUCCAGAAACAACAGGGCUAAUGCACAUAUAAACUCACAGAGACACAUGGCAGUACACACAGGGCCUGCACAUGGCCAAGACAAACUGGUACUGAUAGGGUAAAUGGACAGGAGCUCCCACCCCUAACCAAAGCAAUAUAUACAAAUAACAACUGCGUACAAAGGAAAAUUAUCUUUCCAAUGGAAUCUUACUGGAUACAUAAGCCACACUCCAGGGUUGACCCCAUGCUCAGCAGUAGACAGCCAACACAAGACUAACUCAAUGGCACUUUUAUAAUUUUCUUUGUCUCAUAUACUUUGGGCAUUUUAAAAUAUUACUUAUAUAUUAUGAUUUCUGAUAUUGUAUUAUUAUUUUUGCUUGUAUCUUUUGUGCUUUUUCGUUUUUAAAUUUGUUUUUUUUAUUUGCCUGCA